GUCCUAGCCGUAAACGAUGCAUACUGGAUGUAGGAAGGCUCAACCCUUUCUGUAUCGGAGCUAACGCGUUAAGUAUGCCGCCUGGGGAGUACGCCCGCAAGGGUGAAACUCAAAAGAAUUGACGGGGGCCCGCACAAGCAGUGGAGCAUGUGGUUUAAUUCGAUGCAACGCGAAGAACCUUACCCAGGCUCGAAGUGUAGAGAAAAACAGCAGAAAUGUUGCGUCCCGAAAGGGGCUCUAUAUAGGUGCUGCAUGGCUGUCGU
rnacentral:rRNA from 1 species